CCCGCUGAACUUAAGCAUAUCAAUAAGCGCAGGAAAAGAAACCAACAGGGAUUGCCUCAGUAACGGCGAGUGAAGCGGCAACAGCUCAAAUUUGAAAUCUGGCCUCUCGGGGUCCGAGUUGUAAUUUGUAGAGGAUGUUUUGGGUACCGCCCCGGUUUAAAUUUCUUGGAACAGAAUGUCAAAGAGGGUGAGAAUCCCGUCUUGGACCGGCGGUAGGGCCUAUGUAAAACUCCUUCGACGAGUCGAGUUGUUUGGGAAUGCAGCUCAAAAUGGGUGGUAAAUUUCAUCUAAAGCUAAAUAUUGGCCAGAGACCGAUAGCGCACAAGUAGAGUGAUCGAAAGAUGAAAAGCACUUUGAAAAGAGAGUUAAACAGUAUGUGAAAUUGUUGAAAGGGAAGCGCUUGCAACCAGACUUGAGCGCGGCGGUUCCCCUAGCCUUUUGGCUAGGUUACUCCGCCGUGUCCAGGCCAACAUCGGUUCUGAGGGUCGGUCAAAGGCCUUGGGAAUGUAUCUACCUACGGGUAGACUUAUAGACCAGGGUGUCAUGCGGCCUCUCGGGACCGAGGAACGCGCUUCGGCUCGAUGUUGGCGCUAAUGGCUGUCAGCGACCCGUCUUGAAACACGG
rnacentral:rRNA from 1 species